GUCCUGGCCGUAAACGAUGGAUACUAGGCGUAGUGGGUAUCGACCCCUGCUGUGCCGCAGCUAACGCGAUAAGUAUCCCGCCUGAGUAGUACGGCCGCAAGGUUGAAACUCAAAGGAAUUGACGGGGGCCCGCACAAGCGGUGGAACAUGUGGUUUAAUUCGAAGCAACGCGAAGAACCUUACCAGGGCUUGACAUCUGUGGAACCUUCCGGAAACGGAGGGGUGCUCGCAAGAGAGCCACAAGACAGGUGGUGCAUGGCUGUCGU
rnacentral:rRNA from 1 species